rnacentral:rRNA from 1 species
AGAGAGAGACAUGCGCGCAUAUCAAUAAGCGGAGGAAAAGAAACUAACAAGGAUUCCCUUAGUAACGGCGAGUGAAGCGGGAAGAGCUCAAAUUUGAAAUCUUCAAGGUUUUACCUUGACGAAUUGUAGUUUAAAGAAGUGUUUUCUGCUGAAGUUUUGGUAAAAGUUCAUUGGAAUAGGACAUCAUAGAGGGUGAGAAUCCCGUAUUUGACCAUUAUUUUCAGCUUUGUGAUACACUUUCAAAGAGUCGGAUUGUUUGGGAAUGCAGUCCAAAAUGGGUGGUAAAUUUCAUCUAAAGCUAAAUAUUGGCGAGAGACCGAUAGCGAACAAGUACCGUGAGGGAAAGAUGAAAAGAACUUUGAAAAGAGAGUUAAACAGUACGUGAAAUUGUCAAAAGGGAAGCGUUUGACACCAGUGUUGUUUUCUCGAAAAUCAAUUAAAAAUGGCUCGAUUUUGUAUUGCUUGAGACCUUAAAAGCUCACUGUACAUUUUUCGUGUCUUUUUUAAUGCACUUUUCGUUUAACAAGUCAACAUCAGUUUCUUUUGUUGUAAAAGGGUCAUUGGAAGGUGGCUUUCUUUUCGGAGAAAGUGUUUAUAGCCUUUGGCCUCUGCAAUCGAAGAGACUGAGGUCUGCAGCGUAGACUCUUCGGGGUUAGAUACAUUUGUGCUAAGUUAUAGCUUUUUAUAGACAACUUGUUGACUAUAAUUAGUCUUGUAGCUUACUCGCUUAUGCUAUUUUACCUACGCUUAGGAUGUUGAGUCGUAGAGCACGCA